UUUCCCCACUCCGCCCCUGUUAGCACCUCUAGUAACAUAUGUACUGAGAAAAAUGGUGACGUGUUCAAUACUUAUUUUACCCGCUGUAUCUUGUAAAAACGAGAAAACAAUCUUGUUAUAUCAAGAUAACCAUCUCGUUACAACAUAUUAUGGUUUCUUCUGGUUUGGCACUUUCACAGAAGUUUAUUGCCUGGAUGGCGUCAUGGAGAACCCGACUGAGUCUCAAUAUAUGCCUUUUUAUGAAGAAGAAAUCUGAAAGAGGAACACAUUUCUAGACUAAAAAAAUGACAAGUUAGUACUGAAUAAUGUUUUCGAAAUAAUAGGGGCCAAAUUCAGAUUAGAGAGUGAAUAUUAUUAAGUGCUACUAGCUGCAACAUCUGAGCACAAACUCAAAUAAUUCUGUUCGUUUUUUUUUAUAUAGUGGUUCAGUUGUGUUCUCCAUCACGCCAUCCAGGCAAUAAACUUCUGUGAAGAUAGUUUUUUCGUUAUAARGAGAUAGUUUUCUCAUAAUGAGAUCCAGUUUCAAAAUAAUUUCAUGUCAUGCGGCAGCUCUAUGCUUCCGUACUCAGGCAAGGUUUGUAAAAUGUUAUUUAUUUUUGCGUGGGGGUGAAUUGUUUUAGAGCUUAAGGGGUUGUGGUGGUGAAAGUUCUGUUUUUCUGUAAUCCACUGAGGUGAAAUUCAGUUGUGAUCUGUUAAAAUGUCUCUCAAGAAACAAAAGCUUUACAUGAGUAAAUUUUCUAUCUGCAGGGUCCUGUUUACCAAUUGAUGUGCCACAUGAGGAUCUUAUCAAAAGGAAGUUGAUCUGCAAGACGUUCUGUCGCCCAAUGAUGUUGCUCCAAGAAWUGUUAUGGCAUUUCUCCAGUCAUUGGAUACCAGGAUGAUCCAGCAAGCUAAGGAAGGUAAGAAACCUGUUAACUCACUUGUGGGGAAAAGGCAAAAACUUUAUUGGGUUAUAUUUUAGUUGUUUAAAAUCUACCCAUUAUGCAAAGCUUAAACUGACUAUACCAUUAAACCUAGUGUACCUGGAAACAAAUGGAGACUAUUUGCGAUGAUGGUCACAGCAACAUGACUGCCGGCGACUACAAUUUCUCUAGUUGAAUAUAAUUUUUAAACAAAGUUGCUGUCACAUAGAGUUUAGAUCAGGAC